UUCCGGUUGAUCCCGCCGGCGGCUACCGCUAUUGGAGUUCGAUUAAGCCAUGCGAGUCGUGAGUCCUAGGGACUCGGCGUACCGCUCAGUAACACGUGGGUAACCUGCCCUAUGCUGGGGAAUAACCUCGGGAAACUGAGAAUAAUGCCCCAUAGUUCACCACACCUGGAACGGUGGGUGGAUGAAAGCUCCGGCGGCAUAGGAUGGGCCUGCGGCGUAUCAGGUUGUAGGGGGUGUAAUGUACCCUCUGGCCAUCUACGCGUACGGGUGUUGAGAGACAUCGCCCGGAGAUGGAUUCUGAGACACGAAUCCAGACCCUACGGGGUGCAGCAGGCGCGAAAACUUGGCAAUGCGAGCAAUCGUGACCAGGGAACUCCAAGUGCAUCGGGUAAGACCGAUGCUUUUCUUGACUCUUCAAAGGUCUUGGAAUAAGGGGUGGGUAAGGACGGUGCCAGCCGCCGCGGUAAUACCGGCGCCUCAAGUGGUAGUCGCUUUUAUUGGGCCUAAAACGUCCGUAGCCGGUUUGGUACAUUCGUGGGUAAAUCAAGACGCUCAACGUCUUGAAUUCUGCGAGCACGGCCAGACUUGGGACCGGGUGAGGUGUGGGGUACUCUCAGGGUAGGGGUAAAAUCCUGUCAUCCUGAGAGGACCACCUGUUGCGAAGGCGCCACACUAGAACGGAUCCGACGGUCAGGGACGAAGCCUA
rnacentral:rRNA from 1 species